rnacentral:rRNA from 1 species
CCUGGCUCAGGAUGAACGCUAGCGACAGGCCUAACACAUGCAAGUCGAGGGGGCAUCGGGGGUUGAAGCUUGCUUUAACUGCCGGCGACCGGCGCACGGGUGAGUAACACGUAUGCAACCUGCCCGUCACAGGGGUAUAAUCGAUGGAAACGUCGUCUAAUCCCCCAUAUAAUCAUUAUGCCGCAUGGUGAGAUGAUGAAAGCUAAUUGUGGUGACGGAUGGGCAUGCGGUGCAUUAGCUAGUAGGCGGGGUAACGGCCCACCUAGGCUACGAUGCAUAGGGGUUCUGAGAGGAAGGUCCCCCACACUGGUACUGAGACACGGACCAGACUCCUACGGGAGGCAGCAGUGAGGAAUAUUGGUCAAUGGUCUAACGACUGAACCAGCCAUGCCGCGUGAAGGUCACGGCCCUAUGGGUUGUAAACUUCUUUUGUUUGGGAAUAAAGUUCGGGACGUGUCCCGUUUUGUAUGUACCAUUCGAAUAAGCAUCGGCUAAUUCCGUG